ACUGGGAACACAGCACCCUCCCCAAAACAGCAAAUCACAUCGCAGGAAUCCUCUUGAGUUCUCGCUCCUCCCAGCGAGGAUGUUUGAGGCGCAUAUGUAAGGGAGGAUGUACCAGUGUUUCAUCCAGAACCCUCCUUGCUUUUUGAUUCAUAAAGGGGAACCUAAGGGAUUUCAACAUCUUCCAUGAUGGUGGUGCAGUGCCAGGUUCUUGACAGGAAACAUCACCCUCUUUUGUUGCAUGUGUACGACCCAAGACUUAAAGGGUUACAUUGAACACAUCUGUCUUUUAAGUAUCGAUGACGUUUAGUGAGGUGAGCCCAAAGAAUACCAAGAGCCACAAUCUGCCACUGUACCACCAGACUUCAGAGUAGUUUGAAUAAAAAAAGCUUUUUUUUUGUGGAUGAAUUAUUUAUUCCAACAUCAUCUGCAGUCUUGUUUUACAACCUAGUGCUAUAUAAUUAACAUGAAUCUUAAUUUUUGGGCGAGUGGAGCACAGAGGAUGCUAGGAAGCAUGAUAAAAGCAUAAUGAAUUUAACAUUAUGAGAAGCAGCAGCAGGUCUGUGGACAGAGUGUGAAUAGUCAGACGCUGCUGCUCACAUUUUAGGUGCCAUCAUUAAUUUGCAUAGCGUGGAUUCAAGGCUUCACUCCACAUUUGGACCAUUCUCUCCAGCAAGAUAUGAGUUUGAUGUCCGUUUUGAUUGAAUGUGGAUUGUGAAUUAUUUUUUUACUUUUAACAUCCUGUGAGAAUUCAGUUCAAUUAUUUAUCUCAAAGUGCUUUUUGAGAUUUUAAGGUAAACACCCUACAAUAAUACAGAGAAAACCCCACAAUCAGAUGAGCCCCUUUGAGCAAGCACGUGGCGACAGUAGGAAGGAAAAACUCAGUUUUAACAAUAUUGUAUUACUGAUAUGGUUACACCCCAGGGAUCAGGAAAAAGUUAUAGUCUUGUGACUCGACAGCAUUAAAUUCUGUUUAGGUGGUAAACUUCUAAUCUUCAGUGGAGUAGACGUUAUCAUUUACCAUAGUUUCAGUCAUCCAGGUCAUAGUAGUCUUGAGAUCUUAAAAAAAGGCAACUGUAGUUUCUCUGACAAACUUGCUACAUAAAGGACGACAGUUGUUCCAUUUGGUGUUCAAAUUCAGAUAUUGCUGGUUUGAUUUAGGCCAACAUGUGUGCACUCCUCUUUUCUUUGUCCUCCCUUAGAGAUAAUGUUCUUAUCCCGGGUGGUGUAGAGGUCCUGAUCACAGCUACUUUGAGUUCCAGUGGGGGAUGAGAAAUAGCUGAGAUGCUCCACUUUUUGUUUUGAGGACUGAAGAAGGCCUGAAUGAGACGUGAAAUGCUUUCAAAAACCUAGAGCAAAAAGUAUUUUCUCCAAGCAUGACAUCACACCCAGACACAAACUGGUUCGUCCCAAGGGUAAAACACAAGCUAAACAACAUAGUGUUUGCUGUGCAGGGCAGUGAGGAGUGCUCAGGACCUCUAUGUAGGAGAAACCAAACACCCACUCUGUAAACACAAGGCACAACAUAGAAUAGCCUCGUAAACAGGAGAGGACUCAGCUGUACAAAUGCACCUAAAGGACAAAGGAUACUUUUGAGGAUGCCACACUUCGAGGCCACAUGCAGCCCACUUAAGUUAGCCGGACCAGUGGUAGUCUAUUUUAUGUCAGUGUAAAGAAUUUUAAAUAUACAUUAAAUCAGUGAGUUUAAAAAUAAAGAUGAGCAAUUUCAACAAUGCACAUCAGUUUUUCUACACAACAAAGAAAUGCUGCUGUAGUGAAUGAAAGAAAUCUGUCAGCUGUAUAAAUAAAUGUGUCAAAUUUGAGAAAAAGCUCUGGUAGCUCAAUGCGCAGACUCAUUUCAUUCAGUUAUAAAAGAGAAAGUCUUUGGUAAUUGAAAAAAAACAACAACAACAACUAUACAACGAGACCUUUUCUGUCAUUUAAUUUUCUGAAUUUAACUGUUUAUCUGUUACUUGAUUACUUUGGCACAGUAUGAAUGGCCAUGGGAGAGGUCUUUACCUGUAGGAAAAACUGUAAAACAUUUAAAAGUUAAAAGUCCAAAAUUUAUGCUGUCCUUCACAUUUUCCAGAGCUAUCCAGUGGGCUGGAUCGGGCCUUAUGUUUGACACCCCUGAUCUAUGUCCACUGUGAACAACCAGCAUUACAGGUGGUAAUUUACGACACCAGCUAUCAGCCCCUGAUGAUGCAGUCUUGAUACAGUCUUCCCAGAUACUUCAGCCCCCACUCACAGCUGGUGUCAGGUGACCUCAAUAAGUCCCAUGAUGGCUUGGGGGCAACGUCUCACAGUAGGUUCGCCCUUAACCACUGGUGACAGUAAUGGCCCAUGUCUUUUUUUCCACACCUUAGCUCAUGUUAUGACUAACAUGAUCAAUAGUGGGUCAACGACCUGGUUCACCUCUAAAGGGGACAACGCCCACUAGGGGCUGAAUACCUGGGACUCUCCAUAUUAGUUUUUAGAGCUGAAGAAGCCUCUUGGAUGAGCUGUGAAACAGCCUUACAAACCUCCAGAAGAUCUGCUGCCUUUUCUUUCCAGGCUCUCAAUGCAGGGCUUUAGGGUUCCAUCAUAAUCACAUCAUUAGUAUCUGUUCGAAAUUUAAGAAAUGCAAUAGCUUUGACUAAAACAUGAGGGAUGUGCGUCGUACCCUUCAUCCACGUCUUCUCUUCUGUUUCCUGGUCUACAUGAAUCAGCUGUCCGGUCCAUAUAUUUUAAACCAAGACUAUGCCAACAAAAGAAGAAAUACCCAUAAAACCCUCCCUCCGUGCACGCUUGGGUCAAGUGUGUGUCAUGCCUAAUGUUGCUCAACCAUCAGUAAUACUGUUACUGUAAUACUGCAAUUUCAUCUUGUGGCCACAGUGGUUGCUGUUCACCAUAAGUUAAACCGACUUUUCUUGCAAAACAGCUCUUCCAGACUUCUUUCUUUUUUUUCCUUCCAACUCUAACCUAGACACUCAGAUCAUUUUGACACAUUUCCUGCCACCUCAGAACAGAGAUUUGAGUGAAAAGUUAUCGGCCAUUUUAAAAAUAAAUGCAUAUUUUUUAAAAACCUCAGCAGUCAUCAAGAAGCCAUACCGCCAACAUAAAUUUGGAAAGAUAAAUCUGAUAUUUAAAAAUACAGAUAACUACCUCACAGUGGAAAGUGUCCUGAACUGUAAUAGACGUGUUAAUAUUGCAACUUUAUAGUUCUGAGGAAAGGAUUAUAAUCUGAAUUUAUUUUUAUUAUGAAAAGUAAAAGUAACCACAAUCUAUUAUUUACUAUGUGACAAAUUUGUAGUCAUGUACACAACACUGCAUGAAAAUUCAAUGUGUGGAUUUCGCAUAUUAUCCUUGUGACUGCAUAGGCUCUCUGUCUGAGUACUUUGACUUCCUCCCACAGUUUAAAGGCUUGCACGUUAGGUUAAGUGGUGAUUCUAAAUUCACUGUAAGUGUGAAGCCGAGUGUGAGUGGUUGUCUGACUCUCUGUGCCAAUCUUGCUGUAGACUGGCAGGCUCUUUGGGGUUUACCAGCUUCCUGUCACCCUGAACUGGACAAACACUCAAAAAAACAUAGAUGGCAUUAAAAUUUGAAAUCAACAGUUGUAUGUUUUGCAAGUAAAAUGUGCAAAAGCCUUCCAUUUCCUUCUCAUAUAUUGGGUGGAGUAAAAAUGCAAAGUACCAGUGGAAGUACUUAUAUGGAUAACAAUAUCCCAAAAUUGUACUUGACUAAAUACUGCUCUUCUGCUUUGUUGUUAAUGAGUGAAGGCUUAAAUUACUGAUAUCACUAGGCGGUACUUCCACUGUUUUUAGUCGCACAAAAAGAAACUCGUAAAGAUUUCGUUUGAGAUGUUACAUCUGAAUGAAUUUUGAUUGUGGGGCGUCUCAGCUGUGAAUUUU